rnacentral:rRNA from 1 species
GUCCACGCUGUAAACGAUGACGACUAGGUGUGGGGUUCGAGUCCCCUCCGUGCCGCAGCUAACGCAUUAAGUCGUCCGCCUGGGGAGUACGGCCGCAAGGUUGAAACUCAAAGGAAUUGACGGGGCCCGCACAAGCGGUGGAGCAUGUGGUUCAAUUCGAUGCAGAGCGAAGAACCUUACCUGGGCUUGACAUGCAGAGAGUAGAAACCGGAAACGGGGACGACCUGUUAAGUCAGGAAUCUGCACAGGUGGUGCAUGGCUGUCGU